AAAGAAAAUUCGAUUCCCUUAGUAGCGGCGAGCGAAACGGGAAGAGCCCAAACCAACAAGCUUGCUUGUUGGGGUUGUAGGACACUCUAUACGGAGUUACAAAGGACGACAUUAGACGAAUCAUCUGGAAAGAUGAAUCAAAGAAGGUAAUAAUCCUGUAGUCGAAAAUGUUGUCUCUCUUGAGUGGAUCCUGAGUACGACGGAGCACGUGAAAUUCCGUCGGAAUCUGGGAGGACCAUCUCCUAAGGCUAAAUACUCUCUAGUGACCGAUAGUGAACCAGUACCGUGAGGGAAAGGUGAAAAGCACCCCGGAAGGGGAGUGAAAUAGAACCUGAAACCGUGUGCUUACAAGUAGUCAGAGCCCGUUAAUGGGUGAUGGCGUGCCUUUUGUAGAAUGAACCGGCGAGUUACGAUUUGAUGCAAGGUUAAGCAGUAAAUGUGGAGCCGUAGCGAAAGCGAGUCUGAAUAGGGCGUUUAGUAUUUGGUCGUAGACCCGAAACCAGGUGAUCUACCCUUGGUCAGGUUGAAGUUCAGGUAACACUGAAUGGAGGACCGAACCGACUUACGUUGAAAAGUGAGCGGAUGAACUGAGGGUAGCGGAGAAAUUUCAAUCGAACCUGGAGAUAGCUGGUUCUCUCCGAAAUAGCUUUAGGGCUAGCCUCAAGUGAUGAUUAUUGGAGGUAGAGCACUGUUUGGACGAGGGGCCCCUCUCGGGUUACCGAAUUCAGACAAACUCCGAAUGCCAAUUAAUUUAACUUGGGAGUCAGAACAUGGGUGAUAAGGUCCGUGUUCGAAAGGGAAACAGCCCAGACCACCAGCUAAGGUCCCAAAAUAUAUGUUAAGUGGAAAAGGAUGUGGCGUUGCCCAGACAACUAGGAUGUUGGCUUAGAAGCAGCCAUCAUUUAAAGAGUGCGUAAUAGCUCACUAGUCGAGUGACACUGCGCCGAAAAUGUACCGGGGCUAAACAUAUUACCGAAGCUGUGGAUUGUCCUUUGGACAAUGGUAGGAGAGCGUUCUAAGGGCGUUGAAGCAUGAUCGUAAGGACAUGUGGAGCGCUUAGAAGUGAGAAUGCCGGUGUGAGUAGCGAAAGACGGGUGAGAAUCCCGUCCACCGAUUGACUAAGGUUUCCAGAGGAAGGCUCGUCCGCUCUGGGUUAGUCGGGUCCUAAGCUGAGGCCGACAGGCGUAGGCGAUGGAUAACAGGUUGAUAUUCCUGUACCACCUAUAAUCGUUUUAAUCGAUGGGGGGACGCAGUAGGAUAGGCGAAGCGUGCGAUUGGAUUGCACGUCUAAGCAGUAAGGCUGAGUAUUAGGCAAAU
rnacentral:rRNA from 1 species